GGUAUCGCCAAGUGGUAAGGCAUCGGACUCUGAAUCCGACAUGCGUAGGUUCGAAUCCUACUACC
rnacentral:tRNA from 1 species